CCGCGGUAAUACAGAGGUCUCAAGCGUUGUUCGGAAUCACUGGGCGUAAAGGGUGCGUAGGUGGCAUGGUAAGUCAGAUGUGAAAGCCCAGGGCUCAACCUUGGAAUUGCAUCCGAUACUGCUGUGCUAGAGUACUGGAGGGGUGACUAGAAUUCUCGGUGUAGCAGUGAAAUGCGUAGAUAUCGAGAGGAAUACCAAAGGCGUAGGCAGGUCACUGGACAGUUACUGACACUGAGGCACGAAGGCCAGG
rnacentral:rRNA from 1 species